AUUGAACGCUGGCGGCAGGCUUUACACAUGCAAGUCGAACGGUAACAGGCCGCAACGUGCUGACUCGUGGCCGACUGGCGGGUAAUUCAGCGGAAUGUGGCCAGCCGUGGGGUGGAACUAGUCAAAAGAGUAGCUAAGUCCCCAUAAGCUCAUAGGAUCAUAGCGGGGGAGCGUAAGGCCUUCCGGGAUUUGGUCAGCGGAUGUGGGAUUAUGUGGUUGGUGGGGUAACGGCUCAACAAGCCAACGAUCCGUAGUUGGCCUGUGAGGACGACCAGCCACACUAGGACUGAGACACGGCCCAGACUCCUAAGGGAGGCAGCAGUGGGGAAUUUUGGACAAUGGGCGCAAGCCUGAUCCAGCAAUGCCGCGUGCAGGAAGAAGGCCUUCGGGUUGUAAACUACUUUUGUACGGGAAGAAACGACUAUGGUUAAUACCCUUGGCUAAUGACGGUACCGGAAGAAUAAGCACCGGCUAACUACGUG
rnacentral:rRNA from 1 species